GUUUUUAGACCCUUCAUUGUUGACCAGUGGAAAACUUCCCGCCGAAGUGUUUCAAAUAGCACUUUGUCUUCAAACGAACAAGAUGGACACAUGCAGUUUACAGAAGCAAAAGAUUUGAUUUGAACUGUUCGUGAAACCACACAUACUCAAGAGAAUUUACAAGACUAUUAUCCACAAAAUGCAACAGUCUUAUUUUGAUGAAUUGUUGAACCAGAGAAAUGUGAAGACUUACAGACACCUAGACUGUAUAGUCAACAUAACAAUGAUUAGAGAAUCAGACUACAGUGAACAUUACAAUGAUUAGAAAAUCAGACUAGAGUCAACAUUACAAUGAUUAGAGAAUCAGACUAUAGUCAACAUUACAAUGAUUAGAAAAUCAGCCAGCUGCAUUUCAUCAAUCAGUUUAUGAUGAAGCUUUACAGCAUUGGAAAUGAUUACUCGGGGACCAAACAACUGAGCAGAAAGAAGAACCGUAUGACCUUGAAGAGUAAGCAAUGUAUUAAGUAUAUUUGGGGUUACCAAAGAGUAUGGUAAGAACCUCAUCUUAAAUUAUACUUGGUGAGUAUUCUUAUUGUUGGUUAAAUAUUAAGCAUCAUUAUGGAAAAUGGGGGAUCAAGGGUAUACACCAACAAGACAGUGACCAAAGGAAAAUAAAUAACCAAAACCAUCUAGAGGUUUCAACUAUAGUCUGAUGUUUAUACAAUACGUGAACUUGUAAAUCAUCCAAAGUCUAAAAUAUUUGUGAAUAAAAGGAACAGACUGACAAAUAACUUACAUACACACAAAUAUCUGACCUAAGCACAUGAGCAUGUUGCAGGGUGAAAUUUUUUUUUUAAAUAAAGCUUGAGCCUGUUUUGUGCAAUGCCUAACCAUUUAACGACAAAAUUUCAUACAGAAAACUUUUCAAAUUGAGGGGUUUCAAAUUUUAAAUAAGCCAAUUUAUGGUUUAAAAAAAUAAUGGAAAUCUGGACUCCCCAACAAGAGAAAAAUGUCACUCUUAUAAUUGAGGAAAAUGGCCACUACCUGAAUGGUCUUUAGAAUUAAUUCAGUUGCUCUGGUCAUUUUUCAUAAUUUAACAAUGUAAGUAAAUAUGGAGUUGUUUGAUCAAUGGGAGAUAACUCUGACCACAUGGAAUAAUUCUGAAAACUUAAAGAGGGGUCCUGAUCCCGAAAUCCCGGGCUUAAAAACACAAAAUCCUGAGCUCCCGAAAUUUAAAUAAA